rnacentral:rRNA from 1 species
AAUCCAUAGGUUAAUGAGGCGAACCGGGGGAACUGAAACAUCUAAGUACCCCGAGGAAAAGAAAUCAACCGAGAUUCCCCCAGUAGCGGCGAGCGAACGGGGAGGAGCCCAGAGCCUGAAUCAGCAUGUGUGUUAGUGGAAGCGUCUGGAAAGGCGCGCGAUACAGGGUGACAGCCCCGUACACAAAAGCGCAUGUGCUGUGAGCUCGAUGAGUAGGGCGGGACACGUGGUAUCCUGUCUGAAUAUGGGGGGACCAUCCUCCAAGGCUAAAUACUCCUGACUGACCGAUAGUGAACCAGUACCGUGAGGGAAAGGCGAAAAGAACCCCGGCGAGGGGAGUGAAAAAGAACCUGAAACCGUGUACGUACAAGCAGUGGGAGCACCCUUUGGGUGUGACUGCGUACCUUUUGUAUAAUGGGUCAGCGACUUAUAUUCUGUAGCAAGGUUAACCGAAUAGGGGAGCCGGAGGGAAACCGAGUCUUAACCGGGCGUUAAGUUGCAGGGUAUAGACCCGAAACCCGGUGAUCUAGCCAUGGGCAGGUUGAAGGUUGGGUAACACUAACUGGAGGACCGAACCGACUAAUGUUGAAAAAUUAGCGGAUGACCUGUGGCUGGGGGUGAAAGGCCAAUCAAACCGGGAGAUAGCUGGUUCUCCCCGAAAGCUAUUUAGGUAGCGCCUCGUGAAUUCAUCUCCGGGGGUAGAGCACUGUUUCGGCUAGGGGGCCAUCCCGGCUUACCAACCCGAUGCAAACUGCGAAUACCGGAGAAUGUUAUCACGGGAGACACACGGCGGGUGCUAACGUCCGUCGUGAAGAGGGAAACAACCCAGACCGCCAGCUAAGGUCCCAAAGUCAUGGUUAAGUGGGAAACGAUGUGGGAAGGCCCAGACAGCCAGGAUGUUGGCUUAGAAGCAGCCAUCAUUUAAAGAAAGCGUAAUAGCUCACUGGUCGAGUCGGCCUGCGCGGAAGAUGUAACGGGGCUAAACCAUGCACCGAAGCUGCGGCAGCGACACUGUGUGUUGUUGGGUAGGGGAGCGUUCUGUAAGCCUGUGAAGGUGUGUCGUGAGGCAUGCUGGAGGUAUCAGAAGUGCGAAUGCUGACAUAAGUAACGAUAAAGCGGGUGAAAAGCCCGCUCGCCGGAAGACCAAGGGUUCCUGUCCAACGUUAAUCGGGGCAGGGUGAGUCGACCCCUAAGGCGAGGCCGAAAGGCGUAGUCGAUGGGAAACGGGUUAAUAUUCCCGUACUUGGUGUUACUGCGAAGGGGGGACGGAGAAGGCUAUGUUGGCCGGGCGACGGUUGUCCCGGUUUAAGCGUGUAGGUGUGUGUUCCAGGUAAAUCCGGUUCACUUUAACACUGAGGCGUGACGACGAGGCACUACGGUGCUGAAGCAACAAAUGCCCUGCUUCCAGGAAAAGCCUCUAAGCAUCAGGUAACAUCAAAUCGUACCCCAAACCGACACAGGUGGUCAGGUAGAGAAUACCAAGGCGCUUGAGAGAACUCGGGUGAAGGAACUAGGCAAAAUGGUGCCGUAACUUCGGGAGAAGGCACGCUGACACGUAGGUGAAGUGAUUUACUCAUGGAGCUGAAGUCAGUCGAAGAUACCAGCUGGCUGCAACUGUUUAUUAAAAACACAGCACUGUGCAAACACGAAAGUGGACGUAUACGGUGUGACGCCUGCCCGGUGCCGGAAGGUUAAUUGAUGGGGUCAGCGCAAGCGAAGCUCCUGAUCGAAGCCCCGGUAAACGGCGGCCGUAACUAUAACGGUCCUAAGGUAGCGAAAUUCCUUGUCGGGUAAGUUCCGACCUGCACGAAUGGCGUAAUGAUGGCCAGGCUGUCUCCACCCGAGACUCAGUGAAAUUGAACUCGCUGUGAAGAUGCAGUGUACCCGCGGCAAGACGGAAAGACCCCGUGAACCUUUACUAUAGCUUGACACUGAACAUUGAGCCUUGAUGUGUAGGAUAGGUGGGAGGCUUUGAAGUGUGGACGCCAGUCUGCAUGGAGCCGACCUUGAAAUACCACCCUUUAAUGUUUGAUGUUCUAACGUGGACCCGUUACCCGGGUUGCGGACAGUGUCUGGUGGGUAGUUUGACUGGGGCGGUCUCCUCCUAAAGAGUAACGGAGGAGCACGAAGGUUGGCUAAUCCUGGUCGGACAUCAGGAGGUUAGUGCAAUGGCAUAAGCCAGCUUGACUGCGAGCGUGACGGCGCGAGCAGGUGCGAAAGCAGGUCAUAGUGAUCCGGUGGUUCUGAAUGGAAGGGCCAUCGCUCAACGGAUAAAAGGUACUCCGGGGAUAACAGGCUGAUACCGCCCAAGAGUUCAUAUCGACGGCGGUGUUUGGCACCUCGAUGUCGGCUCAUCACAUCCUGGGGCUGAAGUAGGUCCCAAGGGUAUGGCUGUUCGCCAUUUAAAGUGGUACGCGAGCUGGGUUUAGAACGUCGUGAGACAGUUCGGUCCCUAUCUGCCGUGGGCGCUGGAGAACUGAGGGGGGCUGCUCCUAGUACGAGAGGACCGGAGUGGACGCAUCACUGGUGUUCGGGUUGUCAUGCCAAUGGCACUGCCCGGUAGCUAAAUGCGGAAGAGAUAAGUGCUGAAAGCAUCUAAGCACGAAACUUGCCCCGAGAUGAGUUCUCCCUGAGACUU